UUCUUCUUUUUUUUCCUGUAUGCCUUUUUUUGUCGUCUACAGGAGCUGCCGACCCAAAGGCCCGGCUCAGGAGUGAUGGCGAAUCGCCUGUAGUAUCAAGAUCAAGAUCAAUGCCUCCCCUUUUGUGAAGUUCUGGGUGGUCCCUGUGCCUUCAGUUCCUUUUAAGUGUGGACUUUCAUAUUUAAUUAGGAGGUGAUCCAUCAGUGCAAAAUGGUGGGCAGCACCCGCAAUGAAGAAUGUGUGUGUGAAGUCACCUUGGGAGUGGAGCCUCAGAGUAUAACUGUGCGUGUGCCGGUAGCAGUUCCUGCAAAUAUCUGCCCAGUGGAGUUGGCACACCGUCUCAUACUGCACCAUAACAUCCCUGUCUACUUACAUAAUGAACUUAGUGGAAAGCUUCAAGCCUUCCUUCAGAACCGCACAGAAGAGUAUUACUGCCAACAGGACCAGAGGGCCCUGCAAGGAUUGAGAGAAGGUAGAACUUCUGUUAAUGAUGCUGCUGCUGCUUGGGCUGCUAAAUAUUCACAAUUAAGCAAGAAGCAAGAAGCUGAAGGGUGUGAGAAUGAACUACUGGCAACCAUGUACCAUUCUUUAGUUCACUCUCCAACAGUGGUCCCUCUUCUGGGUUUAGAGCACUCCUUUGCUAGUACUAUGAGUUCCCUUGUAGCCCAACGGGAACAUGCUUUGCGGGAGAUUAGUGAAAGACAGACCCAGGAGAUGAGUAGCACAGUGAGCAAGGUUGGAGUGCAUCUCACAGAUGAUGAUGUCAAUAACUUGGCAGCACAACAUCUAGAAGACUCUCAGCUGCUUGAGGUCCAAUGGGACUCAACCAUUUCAGUCUUAAGGGAAAACCAAAAGCGUGAGUUUAAGACUUUUGUGGAAGAGUCUUUUGCUGGAAGAGAAGUCACCACACCAGUUACCCCAAAAGACUUCAUCAAAGGUGACACAGAAUCAGUGUUGGUGGAGAGUAGUGAACCCAGUCAGGAAGAAAGCUUCACCAUCCAUCUUGGGGCACAGAUGAAGCAGAUGCACAACUUAAGGCUCCUAUCUGCAGAUGCUCUCCAGCUUUGUAAAUACUUGACCCAUGACCUAAGGAGCAGUUGGGUUUGCCUUUCUUUGCUCCUUGGUUUGUUUUUCUUCUACAGGGAGUUUGUAAGUGUGUUAUUAUGCCACGUAAGUGUGUUAAGUCUUCUCAUUCCCUCCCGUCACUUAUGGUGGACCCUCAUGGAGAGUGUCUGUCAUGUAGGGAGGUGUUAUGUAGCCUUGCUUCACAUUAUGACUGCUGCAAGGCCUUGUCCCAUGACCAGUUUCUACGUCUUUUGGAUAGUAUUAAAGAUCAUACUGAGAGGAGGAAGGCUUCUUCUUCUGGUAAGCGACAGCCAUUGGUUUACCAUGCCCGGUGGCUGCCCCACUACCCAGGAAAUGGAGGUCGGCAUCUGCCAUACGGCUCCCAUGCCUGGUGGCCAGCUCAUCAUCCCCCCACAGGGAUUAGGCAAAGGUGAGACUAUUCCACAUUCUUUGGGGUUGGAGCUUGGUGCUAAUAUGUCUGAUGCACUUCUCCCUUCCCAGAAUGUGAGUGUUGGUGUCAGACACAAGGCUCCCAUACUGGGCAACCAGACUCAUGUGCCUUGUAUAGGGGUUGGUGUGUGGCCCUCAGCUCCCAUGCCUGGUGGCCAUCCCCUUCCUCACAGUGGGGUGAAUCAUAUGGACCCUGUGACAUACCACCUCAGAGGAUCCAAACUUCAAUGAGCCUGUACUCUCACAACCUGAAUGGUCUGGUGCUGCUUGUUGAUGACCGCAUCAACACUUACACUGGCAUUAAACGGGACUUUGGACGUGUGUGUCGGAAAUCCACGGAGCUCCAUUUCCCUGACUUGGAGGACCAGCUGGAGGUGGUGCGUAACACAGUGCCACAGGUGGUGCAGUGGCGUCGAGAUCAUCCGCCUCCUCACUAUGACUGCGAUGAGGAU